rnacentral:rRNA from 1 species
UACGUAGGUGACAAGCGUUGUCCGGAUUUACUGGGCGUAAAGAGCGCGCAGGCGGUCGUUCAAGUCGAGUGUGAAAGCCCCCGGCUCAACUGGGGAGGGUCAUUCGAUACUGAUCGACUCGAAGGCAGGAGAGGGAAGUGGAAUUCCCGGUGUAGUGGUGAAAUGCGUAGAUAUCGGGAGGAACACCAGUGGCGGAAGGCGACUUCCUGGCCUGUUCUUGACGCUGGAGGCGCGGAAAGCUAGGGGAGCAAACGGGG